UGCCAGCAGCCGCGGUAAUACGUAGGGUGCAAGCGUUGUCCGGAAUUAUUGGGCGUAAAGAGCUCGUAGGUGGUUUGCCACGUCGGAUGUGAAAACCUGAGGCUUAACCUCAGGCCUGCAUUCGAUACGGGCAGACUAGAGUGUGGUAGGGGAGACUGGAAUUCCUGGUGUAGCGGUGAAAUGCGUAGAUAUCAGGAGGAACACCGAUGGCGAAGGCAGGUCUCUGGGCCAUAACUGACACUGAGGAGCGAAAGCGUGGGGAGCAAACAGGAUUAGAUACCCUGGUAGUCCACGCCGUAAACGGUGGGCACUAGAUGUGGGGACCUUCCACGGUCUCCGCGUCGCAGCUAACGCAUUAAGUGCCCCGCCUGGGGAGUACGGCCGCAAGGCUAAAACUCAAAUGAAUUGACGG
rnacentral:rRNA from 1 species